CCUGCCCCUGUCAGGGGGACAACCCGCCGAAAGGCGGGCUAAACCCGCGUACAUGCCACCGGGGCAUCCCGGAGGCAGGAAAGGCUUCGGCCGGACAGGGAUGGGCAUGCGGCGCAUUAGGCAGUAGGCGGGGUAACGGCCCACCUAACCGACGAUGCGUAGGGGUUCUGAGAGGAAGGUCCCCCACACUGGUACUGAGACACGGACCAGACUCCUACGGGAGGCAGCAGUGAGGAAUAUUGGUCAAUGGUCGGGAGACUGAACCAGCCAAGCCGCGUGAGGGAUGAAGGUACAGAGUAUCGUAAACCUCUUUUGUCAGGGAACAAAGGCGGGGACGUGUCCCCGGAUGAGUGUACCUGAAGAAAAAGCAUCGGCUAACUCCGUGCCAGCAGCCGCGGUAAUACGGAGGAUGCGAGCGUUAUCCGGAUUUAUUGGGUUUAAAGGGUGCGCAGGCGGUCUGUUAAGUCAGCGGUCAAAGCCCGGGGCUCAACCCCGGCCCGCCGUUGAAACUGGCAGUCUCGAGUUGGAGAGAAGUAUGCGGAAUGCGCGGUGUAGCGGUGAAAUGCAUAGAUAUCGCGCAGAACUCCGAUUGCGAAGGCAGCAUGCCGGCUCCACACUGACGCUGAGGCACGAAAGCGUGGGUAUCGAACAGGAUUAGAUACCCUGGUAGUCCACGCAGUAAACGAUGAAUGCUGGCUGUCCGGG
rnacentral:rRNA from 1 species